rnacentral:rRNA from 1 species
AGAACGAACGCUGGCGGCAUGCCUAAUACAUGCAAGUCGAACGAACUCUUCGGAGUUAGUGGCGCACGGGUGCGUAACGCGUGGGAAUCUGCCCUUGGGUUCGGAAUAACAGUUGGAAACGACUGCUAAUACCGGAUGAUGACGAAAGUCCAAAGAUUUAUCGCCCAGGGAUGAGCCCGCGUAGGAUUAGCUAGUUGGUGAGGUAAAGGCUCACCAAGGCGACGAUCCUUAGCUGGUCUGAGAGGAUGAUCAGCCACACUGGGACUGACGACCACGGGCCCAGCCUCCGUACGGGAGGCAGCAGUAGGGAAUAGUGGACAAGUGGGACGAAAGCCUGACUCCAGACAAUCGCCGUCGGUAGAGUAGACGUAGAACGGU